CCUACGGGUGGCAGCAGUGGGGAAUAUUGCACAAUGGGGGAAACCCUGAUGCAGCGACGCCGCGUGAGUGAAGAAGUAAUUCUGUAUGUAAAGCUCUAUCAGCAGGGAAGAAAAUGACGGUACCUGACUACGAAUCCCCGGCUAACUACGUGCCAGCAGCCGCGGUAAUACGGAGGGGGCAAGCGUUAUCCGGAUUUACUGGGUGUAAAGGGAGCGUAGACGGCAGUGCAAGUCUGAGGUGAAAUCCGAGGGCUUAACCCCCGAACUGCUUUGGAAACUGUACGGCUGGAGUGCAGGAGAGGUAAGCGGAAUUCCUAGUGUAGCGGUGAAAUGCGUAGAUAUUAGGAGGAACACCAGUGGCGAAGGCGGCUUACUGGACUGUAACUGACGUUGAGGCUCGAAAGCGUGGGGAGCAAACAGGAUUAGAUACCCCAGUAGUC
rnacentral:rRNA from 1 species